UACCGAGGUCUCAAGCGUUGUUCGGAUUCAUUGGGCGUAAAGGGUGCGUAGGCGGCGGGGCAAGUCGGAUGUGAAAUCUCAGGGCUCAACCCUGAAACUGCAUUCGAUACUGCUCUGCUCGAGGACUGGAGAGGAGAUUGGAAUUCACGGUGUAGCAGUGAAAUGCGUAGAUAUCGUGAGGAAGACCAGUGGCGAAGGCGGAUCUCUGGACAGUUCCUGACGCUGAGGCACGAAGGCCAGGGGAGCAAACGGG
rnacentral:rRNA from 1 species